rnacentral:lncRNA from 1 species
UCAGAGCUUUACACAGUCCUAAGGACACAGAACAAUCCAGAUUUAGAGAAAGCAGGGCAACCACCGCGGUUCUACAGCCACCGCUGUUCUACAGCCACUGCUGUUCCACAGCCACUGCUGUUCUGCAGCCACCGCUGCUGAUACCCAGGCAAACAGGGUCUGGAGUGGAACCAAUCAGAGCCCCGCUAGGCACUUUUGCCUGAGCUACUGAGCAACAUCCUCCCUCCUCUUCUCAGGCCUCUGACUUUAGGACCAAUUCAGCUCAAGGCCAUUGGUUGCCAUCUUUUCCUGCCUCACAAAGGAAGCAGAGUGAAGAGACUGAGGGACACAACACUGGGGCAGUGAUGAGCACCUGAAACCAGCUAGGCUGAGAGUCUGCCCAAAU